rnacentral:rRNA from 1 species
AGUAACGCGUGGGAACGUACCUUUUGGUUCGGAACAACACAGGGAAACUUGUGCUAAUACCGGAUAAGCCCUUACGGGGAAAGAUUUAUCGCCGAAAGAUCGGCCCGCGUCUGAUUAGCUAGUUGGUGAGGUAAUGGCUCACCAAGGCGACGAUCAGUAGCUGGUCUGAGAGGAUGAUCAGCCACAUUGGGACUGAGACACGGCCCAAACUCCUACGGGAGGCAGCAGUGGGGAAUAUUGGACAAUGGGGGCAACCCUGAUCCAGCCAUGCCGCGUGAGUGAUGAAGGCCCUAGGGUUGUAAAGCUCUUUUGUGCGGGAAGAUAAUGACGGUACCGCAAGAAUAAGCCCCGGCUAACUUCGUGCCAGCAGCCGCGGUAAUACGAAGGGGGCUAGCGUUGCUCGGAAUCACUGGGCGUAAAGGGUGCGUAGGCGGGUUUCUAAGUCAGAGGUGAAAGCCUGGAGCUCAACUCCAGAACUGCCUUUGAUACUGGAAGUCUUGAGUAUGGCAGAGGUGAGUGGAACUGCGAGUGUAGAGGUG